AUGUUGUCCUCUUGGGUUCUCCUGGGAGACUUUAAUCUUCUCUGCCGCGUUGACGAGAAAAGCAAUGGUGCCAUUAACAGGCGUCUGAUUAACAGUUUCCGCUCGGCACUGAAUUUCCUUGAGCUUGAUGAGAUGAGACUUCACGGUCGCCGCUACACCUGGGCUAGCACCUGCCCACAGCAGACUAAAACCAUGAUCGACCAUGUCUUUUGUUCUACUGAUUGGAACCUCCUCUUUCCCCAAUGCCACCUAUGCGCCACCUCUUCCUCCAUGUCAGACCACUGUGCUAUGCUCCUCACUGGUCAAAUUAACCACAAGAUGUUAUCCGGAUUUCGCUUUGAGAACUACUGGCUUAAAAUUCGAGGAUUCAGAGCCAUUGUAUCUGAAUCGUGGCAAGCACUUGUCGCACACGCCGACUCCAUGUGCAGAAUGCACUGCAAGCUAUCCCGCCUUGCCAAAUCUCUCCGGCUUUGGAGCCGCCGCCGUGAUCUGUCCAUCACGCAGAUGGGUCUCCGGCUACACCUUAGGCACAAGCUCCUCUGUGUGGCUGCCAUCCAGCGGGUGCGUAUCCGCCAACGAUCUCGCAUCCUUUACCUGCGUGCAAAUGAGGCUGACUCCAAGCUCUUCCACAUCAAGGCAAAUGGAUGGAGACGACGGAAUUUCAUCCCGGUUCUAGACAACGGAGCGGCUCAGCUAACCCUGCAGGCUGACAAGCAAAAGGCGCUUCUUGACCACUUCAGCAGCACGAUCGGCACUCCAACCCCCAGGGAGUUGCGUGUCAGCCUCUAUGCCGAUGAUGCAACUCUUUUCGUUGCACCUACGCCACAAGAUAUCGUCACCACCAAGGAGAUCCUUUGGGUCUUUGGUUCUGCUUCUGGGCUAAAGGCCAAUAUGCAAAAAAUUUCUGGUGCCUCUCGAGUAGUUCCCGUGCAAAUACCUAGGCUACCUCUCCAUCACAACAAGAUAACAAGAGCUGACAUUCAACCAACCAUUGACAAACUGGCUUCCAGAUUACAGAUUUGGAGAGGCAAGUUGCUCUACGGGGAUGCACGCCUUAAGCUUAUUAACUAUGUGCUCUCUGCCAUUGCAGUUCACCUUCUUUCUGUGUUCAAGCUUGACGGGUGGGCUCUCAAACAGAUGGAUAAGCUUCGGAGGAACUUUUUGUGGCGCUCCAAGCCUGAUGCUGAUAAGGGCAUGGCUCUCAUGAACUGGAGCACUGGUUGUCGCCCCAAGGGGCUAGGGGUGCUCGAUCUCCAAUGUUUCAGCAGAGCACUUCACCUCCGGUGGAAAUGGCUAGACUGGACUGACACAGAUCGCCCCUGGGCCGGCACUGAGAUCCCUUGCGAUAAGGAUGACCUUGCCUUAUUCUUUUCCUCCACUGCGGUGGCCAUCGGGAAUGGACUGACUGCCAAUUUUUGGAAUGACAAAUGGCUCGACGGACAUGUGCCAUGGCUCCUUGCUCCAGAUAUCUUCAGACUCUGCUCCCGCAAGAAUAUCUCUGUCCAUGAUGUUGUCUCUAAUAACAAGUGGAUGUUCGGCCUGCACCGGAUCUCUGACAUCUUGCAGCUUUGCCAGUUUGCUGUCCUAUGGAACCAACUUCAGCAGGUAACCCUUGACCCUCUCGCUGCUGACUCCAUCUCAUGGGUAUGGAACUGCUCCAAGUCAUACUCUGCAUCGUCUGCAUAUCAGUGCCAAUUCCUUGGAUCUUUCUGCCCAAUUCGGUUUGAUAAGCUGUGGACUGCGAAGGUGGAAGCCAAGUGCAAGUUCUGCAUGUGGCUAUGGCCGCGGGGCCCGAUCCUUACCGCCAACAACCUUGACAUCCGAGGAAUUCCUCACAAUGAUGUAUGCUGCCUUUGUGACUAUGCUGAUGAGAUGCCCACUCAGCUCAUCCUAGCCUGCCCUUUUGCCAGGAGCGUCUGGACCAUGGUAGGGAACAACCUGGGCAUUGCCUAUUCUUGCAACGAACGCUCAGACUGCGGUUUCUAUCGAACAAUGGUGGGAUGA
rnacentral:rRNA from 1 species